rnacentral:rRNA from 1 species
CAGUAGCCACGGGAAUACGAAGGGGGCUAGCGUUGUUCGGAUUUACUGGGCGUAAAGCGCACGUAGGCGGACUUUUAAGUCAGGGGUGAAAUCCCGGGGCUCAACCCCGGAACUGCCUUUGAUACUGGAAGUCUUGAGUAUGGUAGAGGUGAGUGGAAUUCCGAGUGUAGAGGUGAAAUUCGUAGAUAUUCGGAUGAACACCAGUGGCGAAGGCGGCUCACUGGACCAUUACUGACGCUGAGGUGCGAAAGCGUGGGGAGCAAACAGGAUUAGAUACCCCGGUAGUCCCUGUCUCUUAUAC